rnacentral:pre_miRNA from 1 species
AUUGGGGGGAAUGAAGCCUGGUCCGACAACACUUGCAACAGAUCUAAUUUGUCUAUGAAUUGAUCAAACAAAAGAGUUCUCGAGCCAGACAACAUUCCCCUCAAA